GCCGCCACCACCUCUGACCCUCUACGCGCAGCCCGCCUCCUCCCUCUCAACCCUAAUCGCUCAGGAGCAAUCCAUGGCAGACUCCGACACCGCCGACCGGAAGGAGGAGGUGCCGAGGAGGAGAAGAGCGGAGAGGAAGGUGGAGCCCGCUGCCGCCACCGCUUGCGAGGUACAUGGCACCCACAGCUCUCUCUCACCCGCUUCCGCCUCAGCACUCCACGGGAGGAACGCCGAGAUCCAUCGCCUCCGCAGCCGCGCCCUCCGAUAGCGAGUCGUCCUUUUACUGUUUACUGAUAUUACUAGCAAACUUUCGCAUCCACAUCUAGCAGCUUUCGCAUUCGAACUCGUCUUCCUCCGUGUGCCGCCGCCGGGCAUUCUCCUCGGCGCUCCAGUAGGGAGGGGAUCUUCCGCUCGCGCCGCCGGCGAGACGGAAUCCUGCUCGCACCCCACCGCAAGGGACGGGAUCAUGCGAGCGUGCAACAAGUUAGGGUCCGAACCCUAGCUCUGGUCGCUGCCUUCCUCAACCCUCCUGUGACCUCGUGGUUCUCCGAUGCGCCUCACGUCAGUUCCAGUCGGCUGCCAUGCCUCGCGCCUCCUCCUUGGCCGCUCAUGACCAGACGUUGCCAACGAGAUCCAUGGAGGCACCAGGUAGUCGCCCUCCCUGUUCGGCUCUUCCACUACCCUCUGGUAGCAUAUGCCGCCUCUCCUUGUCCUCCAUCGAGCAGCAGCAGCCACUUCAUCCAUCGAGCAGCAAAGGCCCCUCCUCCCUCCAUCAGGGCGAGAAGCAGCUAGCAGGUAGCAGAAAAUUCUGAUUCAUGUUAUGUAUAUAUGUGCCGAUGAAUCUGCUGCAGCCACCAUGGUUACCCUACUCUUUUGUGCUCUUCUAUGUUUCGUCACAAUCAUUAAUUAAUUAUUAGUCACAAAAUAUUUAGCACUUUUGCCAUGUCUAAUAUUGCCAUUUCCAAGUGAUGGAGCGCUGCAUUAUAAGCCCAAACAGGUGAGAAGACCAUACAUUAUUGUUAUGAGUUCACAAGCUGUUUAGUGAUGAACAUGAACUGUAGUAACUAAAUUAUUAUAUGCAAUUCCCAAUUCCUCUGUUACUCUGAUUGAUGGUAAUUAUCAUUCAUCAAAUUUCUCUCUACCCUGAUUCAUGAGUAAUUGUAAUAACACUCUAAAAAUAUAUGCUAGAAGCAGCACUCUUCCAGCUAGUGGAAAUGGGUUAGUUACGCCCUUGCUGACUUUAAAUGAAAGAUUAACAUCCUUACAUAUUCUACUAUUUGUUAUCUGAAUAUUAGACCCUGUGUUGACAUCUCUCUGUUACUUAAGACUCAUUCUAUUAUCAGAAUAAACCGAAUAUAUCUUUUUUUUUAACUCCAAAGGUUGUUUAUUGUUCUACAUGUGCAUGUAUCUUUAUUGACGAGCUAUAUGUACUUGUAGGAAUACAAGCCUGGUUACACUGCACCACCUCGUGUUGAACCAGAUGAGACAACCAUAGACAUCGACUUUUCUUGCUGCGAGCUGCUGCAUUUCUGCUGCCGUCCUAUAUUAUGGCUUUGAUCUUCAGUAUUUUGCAUCGCUGGCGACAAAGACAGGAAGAGGCUGCACUGGCAGCAGCAGAGGUAGCCUUCAUCCUACAGUCAGCCCAGGGAUGGGCCUCCAGUUUGCUAUUGCUCCAGAGUCCCCUGCCACUCCGCAGCAGGAGCAGGAGUCAUCGCUGUUGUGUUGGAGAGCUACUCAUUGAAUAUUACGACAGUCAAAGGAUUUGAAACAUUUUUGGCAAGUCUAAAAGCCAGCUUUCACGAAUUUCAACAAUUCAAUAUGUGCCAAGAAUUUGAAGGAGUAAAGAAAUGGCACAACUGCUAUGGACGUCAAGCUACAAGAGUGAAUACAAAUUGUUGAAAUCAAGAGACACCAACAAGCUUGCAAGAAAUUGCUAGCUGUUAUUUGGCACUGUACUUUGAUUCAAAGUGUAUAGAGAUGCUCUGUAAAGCCUUCUUUAGAACGGUCAAAGUGUAUGUUAGUUUUGUAUGAUGGAAUGCAAAUGAUGGGCAAUUGACGCCUGCAUUAAAUUUUUUUGUUUUUUAAUUCAA